AGUGAACGCUGGCGGUAGGCCUAACACAUGCAAGUCGAACGGCAGCACAGUAAGAGCUUGCUCUUACGGGUGGCGAGUGGCGGACGGGUGAGGAAUACAUCGGAAUCUACUUUUUCGUGGGGGAUAACGUAGGGAAACUUACGCUAAUACCGCAUACGACCUACGGGUGAAAGCAGGGGAUCUUCGGACCUUGCGCGAUUGAAUGAGCCGAUGUCGGAUUAGCUAGUUGGCGGGGUAAAGGCCCACCAAGGCGACGAUCCGUAGCUGGUCUGAGAGGAUGAUCAGCCACACUGGAACUGAGACACGUUCCAGACUCCUACAGGAGGCAGCAGUGGGGAAUAUUGGACAAUGGGCGCAAGCCUGAUCCAGCCAUACCGCGUGGGUGAAGAAGGCCUUCUGGUUGUAAAGCCCUUUUGUUGGGAAAGAAAAGCAGCAGGUUAAUACCCCGCUGUUCUGACGGUACCCAAAGAAUAAGCACCGGCUAACUUCGUG
rnacentral:rRNA from 1 species